rnacentral:hammerhead_ribozyme from 1 species
GUACUGAUGAAGAAUCCCAAAACAGGACGAAACAGAUGUCCGAUAC